rnacentral:lncRNA from 10 species
CUAAAAUGAGUUAUUCUUAAGAAGGAGAAUGAGGAUCCAACCCUUUAACUGAGAUCAAGAUCUAUUCCUGAGCAUCAAUGAGAGAAGACUGGACCAUGUGGGAACAGCUUAGAGUGAAGCCAACUCCCCAGCUUAGGAGACCAAGUGAGGAAUGCAACACUAGGAUUCUUGACCAGAUUUCUACUAAAGCAAAGACUUAAGAACAGAACUGCAUGCUCCACAAGUAAACCCCAAUGGCCAGCAGAACGGAAAUGCUUCAAAGUUUGACUCAUGAAGAGUGGACCUCAAGUUUAUGACUUUUAGAUUAUAUUUCCCUAGACAUACUACUUGCACUUAUCUAGGUUCAAUCUCAUUUGCUCUUUCCUGACCAUGCUUUUG